rnacentral:rRNA from 1 species
UACGAAGGGUGCAAGCGUUACUCGGAAUUACUGGGCGUAAAGCGUGCGUAGGUGGUGAGUUAAGUCUGUCGUGAAAGCCCCGGGCUCAACCUGGGAAUGGCGAUGGAUACUGGCUCGCUAGAGUGCGGUAGAGGAGAGUGGAAUUCCAGGUGUAGCGGUGAAAUGCGUAGAUAUCUGGAGGAACACCGGUGGCGAAGGCGGCAUCCUGGACCGGUAUUGACGCUGAGGCGCGAAAGCCAGGGGAGCAAAGCGGG